rnacentral:RNase_P_RNA from 1 species
UCGGCAGGUCGUUCUAUCGCUCAAGAAAUUGGGAGGAAAGUCCGGACAAGAUAGGGCAUUGCACUGUGGAAAGCACAGACGGGCGAAAGUUCGUGCAAGGGGUAACAGAAAAUAACCGCCGCAAGGUAAGGGUGAAAACGCGAGGUAAGGGCUCACGGGUAGAUACGGCAACGUACUUACAGUACUCCACUGCAACUUGCAAGGCCAUGUAUACCAACAUUCAAGGGUUGCCCGCCCGUUGUUGGGGGGUAGGCUGCAUCAGAUAAAUGAUAGAAACUUCUUAGGGUAGCAAUACCAGUCUGAAGUACAGAAUCCGGCUUAUAGAUCUGCCCAAAAU